rnacentral:rRNA from 1 species
GACGAACGCUGGCGGCGUGCUUAACACAUGCAAGUCGAACGAAGAGCGAUGGAAGCUUGCUUCUAUCAAUCUUAGUGGCGAACGGGUGAGUAACGCGUAAUCAACCUGCCCUUCAGAGGGGGACAACAGUUGGAAACGACUGCUAAUACCGCAUACGAUCCAAUCUCGGCAUCGAGGAUGGAUGAAAGGUGGCCUCUAUUUAUAAGCUAUCACUGAAGGAGGGGAUUGCGUCUGAUUAGCUAGUUGGAGGGGUAACGGCCCACCAAGGCGAUGAUCAGUAGCCGGUCUGAGAGGAUGAACGGCCACAUUGGGACUGAGACACGGCCCAGACUCCUACGGGAGGCAGCAGUGGGGAAUCUUCCGCAAUGGACGAAAGUCUGACGGAGCAACGCCGCGUGAGUGAUGACGGCCUUCGGGUUGUAAAGCUCUGUUAAUCGGGACGAAAGGCCUUCUUGCGAAUAGUUAGAAGGAUUGACGGUACCGGAAUAGAAAG